UACAGAGGGGGCUAGCGUUGUUCGGAAUUACUGGGCGUAAAGGGCGCGUAGGUGGCCUGUUAAGUCGAACGUGAAAUCCCCGGGCUCAACCUGGGAAUUGCAUUCGAUACUGGAUCGCUAGAGUUCGGCAGAGGGAAGCGGAAUUUCGGGUGUAGCGGUGAAAUGCGUAGAUAUCCGAAGGAACAUCAGUGGCGAAAGCGGCUUCCUGGACCAGAACUGACGAUCAGGCACGAAAGCGUGGGGAGCAAACAGG
rnacentral:rRNA from 1 species